UUAGUGGAAGCGUCUGGAAAGGCGCGCGAUACAGGGUGACAGCCCCGUACACAAAAGCGCAUGUGCUGUGAGCUCGAUGAGUAGGGCGGGACACGUGGUAUCCUGUCUGAAUAUGGGGGGACCAUCCUCCAAGGCUAAAUACUCCUGACUGACCGAUAGUGAACCAGUACCGUGAGGGAAAGGCGAAAAGAACCCCGGCGAGGGGAGUGAAAAAGAACCUGAAACCGUGUACGUACAAGCAGUGGGAGCCCCACCACCAAAGCAUUCUCUGGUGUUGAAGGCCCUGCAAAGCAGCAUCGCGGUGGCGGAGCGUCGUUUGCGACGCCCAACACACAAAACAAGCGGUGAGUGCUUUGGGGUGGGGUGACUGCGUACCUUUUGUAUAAUGGGUCAGCGACUUAUAUUCUGUAGCAAGGUUAACCGWAUAGGGGAGCCGGAGGGAAACCGAGUCUUAAUUGGGCGUUAAGUUGCAGGGUAUAGACCCGAAACCCGGUGAUCUAGCCAUGGGCAGGUUGAAGGUUGGGUAACACUAACUGGAGGACCGAACCGACUAAUGUUGAAAAAUUAGCGGAUGACCUGUGGCUGGGGGUGAAAGGCCAAUCAAACCGGGAGAUAGCUGGUUCUCCCCGAAAGCUAUUUAGGUAGCGCCUCGUGAAUUCAUCUCCGGGGGUAGAGCACUGUUUCGGCUAGGGGGCCAUCCCGGCUU
rnacentral:rRNA from 1 species